rfam:Aedes albopictus isolate Foshan contig15026, whole genome shotgun sequence.
UGCCCAGCAACUCCUAUCCCUACCUCCUCGUGGUACCGUCCGUAAACUAUGGGCAACCUUAGGGAAGAUCGGGUAACCAACCCCGGUGGGAACUUUGGUCGUAGGCUGACAGGGAAGG